AUCAAUUGGUCGCAGGUUCGGGACUCACGCAGUGAGACAACGGAGCCGCUUGCGGCGACGGCCCGAAGGGCGAGGCGAAGCCGAGUCAUCCUGCACGACCCACCA
rnacentral:sRNA from 1 species